AGGGACUCAUUAAGCUAGGUUGAAAUUGAGCAUAUUCUUCAUUUAUCGGCCUAUUGUAAUCUUUAUGUCUUACCUGGGUUAGACAAGUAACUCGAUUUCUACUAGAUUCAGUAAUAUAUGUGUAAUUAUCUAUUCACUGCACUCUAGCUCAGAUUUUAAUUAUUGAAAUAAAGUUAUCGGAAAAAAAAUUGUAAGAAUCCUUUUGAUAACCCAUUGUAGCUUUUAACUCAUGAACAUCUCAAGUAUCCUUAUGAUUUAUAGAGAAAAGUUAUCUGCAGUGCAACAACAAAAGUAAGAAAUUAGUGUGUAGAGCAUAUGAGAGGAAGUAGAUAAAAAUUAAGUGACAAAUGAGACAAUGUUAGCACCGGAUAUUUCAAACCCCUAAGUAGAUAUUUUUCCGCAAACAUAGAGCUAAAGCAACAACUUUUGCAGGGCUUUCGUUGCUUUGGUGCCUUGUUCCCUAUCACUGCCUUGCUAAUCUAGGUGAGACAUUAUAGGGCCUCAAUGAACACUUUCAGAAUUAUUGAGAUGUAUUUUUAUACUUUGCAUAGCUGAAUUAGUUUGUUAGCACUUACUUUGUUGCUUGCUUAGCUUUCACUUAGCCUGGGGAGGGUAGUGUGUAUGCAAACCUUACCCCUUCCCGAGGGGGUUGAGAGGUUGUGUCGGGUAAACUCUUGGCUCAAGAAGACGAAAAGAGAGAUAAUAUAUCAGUACUAUCAAUAGAAAACAAUAGAAAUAAUGACAGAAACAUAAGAAUAGAUGCAAAGCACUAACAAUAAUCAGUAGAUAAGGUCCGGCACAAAGAAAAACUGUAGAAUAGUGCGAAGACAACAUGAACCACUAGCAGUUUAAGACAAAAUCCUAUCAGACUAGCCUCACACCUCUACAAAGUAGAACAAUGCUAACUUGGGUAAAAUCAUGUUUUUGCUUCUGGAGCGUAUUUUGAUUUGGUAGGACAUACCUGGUUGCAUCUAGUGGACCAUUUGGAAGGAAAGAAAUCUAAGAAAGUUUGAAGGAAAGAGGGACUCACUCACUAUCUAGAUUGAAUUUAAACAUAUUCUUCUUUUAGCAUCCUAGUGCAAGAGGAAGUAGAAAAUUAAGUGACAAAUGAGACUAUGUUAGCACUUAGCACCGAAUAUAUCAGACCCCUAAGCAGACAUCUUUCUGCAAACAUAGAAUUAGAGCAACAACUUUUGCAGGACUUGUUACUUCAGUGACUUGUUUUCUAUUACUGCUUUACUAAUCUAGGUGAGACAUUAUAGGGCCUCAAUGAAUAGUUUCAGAUUAUUGAGAUAUAUUUAUAUACUUGUAUAGCUGAAUUAGUUGGUUAGUUCGUGGCUUAGCUGUCAAUUAGUUGAUAUUAGUCGGUUAGAUGGUUUCAGAUAUUUUGGUAUAGAUAUAUUGGUUUCAGAUAUUUUAUUUUUUCUUGAUACGUGACUCAAAUGGCCUGCUCUUUUGAGUGCAGCUAAUAUUGCAAACCCUUAUAACUUUAAAAUGAGUCGGUAAAUUAUUCGGGUAAGGAGGAAAGGGGGUCUAGUGCAUUUUUUCUGGAAAAAUGAAGAGCCUUUCACAUCCUUCUAAACUUAGAAAGAGUAAAGUAAUUAAAUAACCUUUUUAGAUUUCAUCUAGCACAGUCUAGUCGCAUGAGCAAAAUACAAAAAUAAUAAAGCAACAAGGAAAGUGACGGAAUAACUUCAAAAAGGGUGGAUAGUUAGUUUCAUAAAUCUAUUGAGGAAAGAGUUUCCCGAUUUAAAGACAAUCAAAGUGUCCAGUUCUAUUCACUGCUACUCGUGCUGCAGCAGAUUAAAAUUCAAGAUGAGUAACUGAAAUGUUGGACAGAGAAUGGAAGGGAACUAGUGAAUAUUUGUAGAAACUGAAGAAUAUGCUUCUUUGGGUUGAUUAAAAGUGGGAAUAGCUUGAAACUUGGUUAGAUGAGAUAAAUGUUUCAAAUUACUUCAACCGUACAUAGGUUUUGCUAUUUUAUUUGAGCAGUAACUUUUUCACUAGAUACGUAUUGAUACACGCACUUUCAAACAAAAUUAAAUUGGAGUCAAAUUGUUAAUGUCUUGGUGGAAGUUGCUUUGGGAUUGAAGCACGUGCACAAUUGCAGUCCUCCAUUGAUCUUCAACGACUUAAACCCAUCCAACAUACUUUUGGAUGAGGUAAUUACUUUAUUAAAUUUAUUAAGAUAUGUCAAAACUUUAAUAUCUUAUUCAUUAAAAUACAAAUGUAGGAAUUAAAUGUAGUUUUGUGCGAUUUUGGGGCGCCGUCACCAACAACAAGGGAGAAAAAAAUUUGGUACCCCUAGAUAUAUUGACCUUGCCCAUCUGUAUCAAAUGAAUCGUAAGCUCAAGGAUGAUUACCGAUCUGAAUCUAAAAUAUUUUUGCAUUCUGGAAAAUUUAAUAUUUUAACAAACUUUGUCUAUUUUAUGACAGAAUAUCCCGUAGUGGAAAAUGACAUAUUCGGUUUUGGAAUAUUCAUGUUGCAACUUGUCAGCCAAUGUGAGAGUAUGACCAAGAUGAAGGAUAGAAGUGGAAACACAUGUAAUUCCAAGACUGAAUAUGUAAUUCCACUUCUAUCCUUCAUCUUGGUCACACUCUCACAUUGGCUGAUAAGUUGCAACAUGAAUAUUCCAAAACCGAAUAUGUCAUUUUCCACUACGGGAUAUUCUGUCAUAAAAUAGACAAAGUUUGUUAAAAUAUCAAAUUUUUCAGAAUGCAAAAAUGCUUUAGAUUCAGAUCUGUAAUCAUCCUUGAGCUUACGAUUCAUUUGAUACAAAUGGGCAAGGUCAAUGUAUCCAGGGGUACCAAAUUCUUUCUCCCUUGUUGGUGACGCCGCCCCAAAAUCGCACAAAACUGCAUUUAAUUCCUACAUUUAUAUUUUAAUGAAUAAGAUAUUAAAGUUUUGACAUAUCUUAAUAAAGUAAUUACCAAAUCCAAAAGUAUGUUGGAUGGUUUUAAGUCGUUGAAGAUCAAUGGAGGACUGCAGUUGUGCACGUGCUUUAAUCCCAAAGAAACUCCCACCAAGACAUUGACAAUUUGACUCCAAUUUAAUUCUGUUUGAAAGUGUGUGUAUCUAGUGGAAAAGUUACUGCUCAAAUAAAACAGCAAAACAUAUGUACGGUUGAAGUAAUUUGAAACAUUUAUCUCAUAUAACCAAGUUUCAAUCUACUCCCACUUUCAAUCAACCCAAAGAAGCAUAUUCUUCAGUUUCUACAAACAUUCACUAGUUCCCUUCCGUUCUCUGUCCAACAUUUCAGUAACUCAUCUUGAAUUUUAAUCUGCUGCAGCACGAGUAGCAGUGAAUAGAACUGGACACUUCGAUUGUCUUUAAAUCGGGAAACUCUUUCCUCAAUAGAUUUAUGAAACUAACUAUCCACCCUUUUUGAAGUUCUUCCGACACUUUCCUUAUUGCUUCAUUGUUUUUGUAUUUUGCUCAUGCGACUAAACUGUGCUAGAUGAAAACUAAAAAGGUUAUUUAAUUACUUUACUCUUUCUAAGUUUAGAAGGAUGUGAAAGGCUCUUCAUUUUUUCAGAAAACAUGCACUAGACCCCUUUUCCUCCUUACCCAAAUAAUUUACUGACUCAUUUUAAAGUUAUAAGGGUUUGCAAUAUUAGCUGCACUGAAAAGAGCAGGCCAUUUGAGUCACGUAUCAAGAAAAAAUAAAAUAUCUGAAACUAGUAUAUCUAUACCAAAAUAUCUGUAACUAUCUAACUGACUAAUACCAACUAAUUGACAGCUAAGCCACUAACUAAUUCAGCUAUACAAGUAUAUACAUAUAUCUCAAUAAUCUGAAACUGUUCAUUGAGGCCCUAUAAUGUCUCACCUAGACUAGUAAAGCAGUAAUAGAAAACAAGUCACUGAAGCAACAAAAGUCCUGCAAAAGUUGUUGCUCUAAUUCUAUGUUUGCGGAAAGAUGUCUACUUAGGGGUCUGAUAUAUCCGGUGCUAUGUGCUAACAUAGUCUCAUUUGUCACUUAAUUUUCUACUUCCUCUUACACCAGGCUGCUAAAAGAAGAAUAUGUUUAAAUUCAACCUAUAUAGUUAGUGAGUCUCUCUUUCCUUCAAACUUUAUUAGAUUUCUUUCCUUCAAAAUGGUCCAUUAGAUGCAACCAGGUAUGUCCUACCAAAUCAAAAUACGCUCCAGAAGAGCAGAAACAUGAUUUUACCCAAGUUAGCAUUAUUCUACUUUAUAGAGAUGUGAGGCUAGUGUGAUAAGGUUUUGUCUUAGACUGCUAGUCGUUCAUGUUGUGUUCACACUAUUCUAUCAUUUUUUUUUUGUGCCGGACCUUAUCUAUUGAUUAUUGUUAGUACUUUGCAUCUAUUCAUAUGUUUCUGUCAUUAUUUCUAUUAUUUUUUGUUGAUAGUAUUGAUAUAUUGUCUCUCUUUUCGUCUUCUUGAGCCGAGAGUUUACCCGAAACAACCUCUCAACCCCCUCGGGGAAGGGGUAAGGUUUACGUACACAUUACCUUCCUCAGACCCCACUUGUGGAAUUUUACUGGGUUGUUGUUGUAUCUAACUGACCAAUACUAGCUAAGUAAGUGCUAACAAACUAAUUCAGCUGUGCAAAGUAUAAAAAUACAUCUCAAUAAUUCUGAAAGUGUUCAUUGAGGCCCUAUAAUGUCUCACCUAGAUUAGAAAGGCAGUGAUAGGGAACACGGCACCGAAGCAACAAAAGUUGUUGCUUUAGCUCUAUGUUUUGCGGAAAAAUGUCUACUCAGGGGUUUGAAAUAUUCGGUACUAACAUUGUCUCAUUUGUCACUUAAUUUUUAUCUUCUUCCUCUCGUAUGCUCUACACACUAAUUUCUUACUUUCGUUGUUGCACUGCAGAUAACUUUCCUCUAUAAAUCAUAAGGAUACUUGAGAUGUCCAUGAGCUAAAAGCUAUAGUGUGUUAUCAAAAGGAUGCUUACGAUCUGUUUUUUCCGGUAACUUUAUUUCAAUAAUUAAAAUAUGACCUAGAGUGCAGUGAAUAGAUAAUUACACAUAUAUUACUG
rnacentral:lncRNA from 1 species